rnacentral:misc_RNA from 1 species
UUAUUAUGUUAUAAUAAGACUACAUUUGUUACAAUAAUGUUUAGUUUAAAAGUGGAUGCAAGCAUCCAACAGUGCACAGGUGUUAUGGAUAUGAAAGAAGAACCACUGGCUUUCGCCUAUGGUUCAAUCUAAAUUCAUUAAUGAUCCUUCCGCAGGUUCACCUACGGAAA